CUUUACAAUUGGCUAAAUUUACCCGGAACAAUGGCUUGGAACCUCAUUACCAACUCAAGGAUUAGUUCAUUGCUAACGCAAACAGAUCCUAUCACUGAAUCACCCAAAUUUUCAUGGAUCUAACUCAUUGAUCUACCAGUAAAAGUGAAAUGCAAAACUGGUUACAUGUAAAAAUGAGUCCAACAUCUGAUAUGGCUGCACCAAAAAUCAAUAAAUACUUAGGACCAAACCAAAGCCAAGUAACUACCCAAAGAAUCAUGAAAGUUGUUGAAAGACUGUUGAAAUGAUGA